rnacentral:lncRNA from 1 species
GGACAUGUUUAACAUCUUGAAAAUCCAGGUAACUUUCCUUAUGUGAAGUCUGAGUGAGAAAAGGGAAAGCAUUGUUAGUCUCUAGAUCUUUUUUUCUUUUUAUUUUAAUAAGAAAUGGUAUCAUCGUAGGCAGACAAUUUGAUGUCAUAUUUUUCUAUGAUAUUUUCACAGUGCGCACCAGGGCGCCUGUACUCUGCAGCUAUAUGACAUGCAGAGAUUUUUUUUUUUCCCUUCGCAUCAGAGCCUAAGAAACAAGCUGUACAGCAUCAGGCACAAAGACUAUCAAUAAACAUUCCAUCUUUUCAUUUUCUCUCGUUAUUUAAUAAAGAAAAGUCAGAGCCAUGAUUUUUGACCGUCCAAUAGCAAUCUUUCAGAAAUGAUUUCUCGUGGGACUUUGAUGACCAGGAGUCCUCCCACCAGCCUCUCUGCUUGACUCCCCCCAGGGAUGGACAGGAAGCCUCUAGGGAAUGCAGUUCACAAACUUGCCCAGUACAGUCACUGGCCUCCCUCCUGAUCAGAUUGCCUACAGCUGGCAGGAAUAUCUGGCAUCUGUGUGUGUCCUCUUUCUGGCUGCGCACAUUGAUGUUCCCGCCUAGGCUUUGCUAUCAGUAGGAGUGGCUUGCCGACAUACCUGGCAGAAUGCUGGCCACUCCUGUUAGCAUACCAGCAAUGCAGCCUGGGUUGCUAGGGAGCUGCCCUUGAGCAUCCCUUGAUCUAUUUUUAAAUUUCCAUGCUUGUUUCCUCUGUGAAAGGAAGGAGAGAAUAAUAUCGCUUGGCUUUCUCCUCUCUUAAGAAACAAAGUAACCAACAAGGCUAAGACCUGUUGUGAAGUUAAAAAGCAUUUGCUAAUUAAGCCUCAGAAUGUUAGGGUAUUUGUGCCCAUCUAGUUUCUGCUUAAUUAAUUUCCAGAUAAGGCAGCAUCUCAGAAGAGGUAGAAGCCAGUGUCUUUAAGAAGCAUAGGUGAAAUGUACUGGUCCUUUUUUUUUUCUUUUUAAAAAAUCUAUUAUGAAGCUCUUGAAAUACUGUUCUUCCAAGCAUUUAAUGAUAAACCAUUGUGAGGCACCCAUGUCCCCCCACCAUGGGUAAUAAAUGAGAAAUUUGAAGGGCUAUUGAACAGUGAGUUUUCACAGCUGAUACACAGAAAAGUAUUUAGCACAGGUGUUUUGGUAACUGUGAAAUACUGGGGAAAUUCAGUCUUCUGUGACACUUUGAUUUACUGUCUUGUGUGGGAUGGAGUCUUAUGGAAAUUGC